UUACAGCGAGCUCAGAAGCAGAGCAAGGAAAACAUGAAGAACGGGGAAAGUAGCUGCCGCAUGCCAAUGUGAAACUCCGAGGAGUCUAGCCAUUCUGAUCUGGCCUUCCAGGUCAUUAGGAGGCUCUGCCAUCGUGUGAGGAGGGAAAGCCUGCUGUCUGGAGAGCACACUGGUCUCCAGCGUGGGGAGAGAGAGCACUUUCGGGCUUUGCUGAGGAGGGUCUUCAGAAAAAAGAUGUGCAGCUCGGACAUGGAGGGCAGAAGGUGCUCAGGAAGGAUCUUCUGCAUGCAGGAGCCUCCUCUCUCGAAGGGUGUUCUCCAAUCAUGAGCUUAUUUGCUGUUUACAUGCCCGAGGAGGACUGACCUUAGCAGCUAUGAUGACCUCAUUUAUCACUGUGGAUAAGCACUUGGCCAGGGUCUCAGCCAGCACCCCAGGCCCAGCCUCCUGGUUUACUCAUUUCUGGGGGUGGUGGCAUCUGCCCACUGUCCUGAACUUUCCUCUGCUUGGGUAGGGACAGGGAGCCCCAGCAGCACUUGUUCCAGGAUGACCCAGCAAAUUGCAAGGUGGCAUUUGGCCUUUUCCUCAGCAAUUGCCAGACUUUGUCCCAGGGUGAGGAGGAAGCCAAUGGAAGAGCUGGGGUGAGGAGAUCAAAGACCUUUCCAGAGAUUCAGGCAGGGGCCCAAACCAAGGGCAUUUCCAGGCGGGCACUGGGACCAGCCCCAGGGACACGCCAACGCACUGCUGGGGCCAAGGGGAAAGGUUGGUUUCAAAACCACAUGUGCGGCAGCCUCACCACUGAGUCAUGCUUGUGAGGCCUGCUGGAGACCAAAGACAGGGGCUACAAGCUCAAAACCGCCUGGUUAGUGCUGACUCUAUUGAUUUCCUGGCCUUCCACUUCCAAACCUUCCUUGGAUGGCUAAACUCCUUCUGGAAGACACACCUGUUUUUUAUAUUUGCCUGGUAUACCUCACUUCUUUGAGUGACAGCACCCCAGAGAUCCCCUUCUCCACUCUCACUCUUUGUAGUUAAGGUGAGGUUGGAUUCUCUCCUCUCUGCACCCCUCAACCCCCCUACCCCCAGCACUAAGGACCCAGGCUCAGCCAAUCAGAAUAUCUCUCAUGCCCAUCAUGGGCUCUAGGAUGGGAGCAUGAUGGAAGAGUGGCCAUUGAGGAUCAGUUCCAAGACUUUUGUGAGAAAUGCGGGGGAAGAGACCCUCUCUUUUCCUAUAGGGAUUGCUCACUGUGCAAAUAUGCCAGCCUGGAACAGCUGGGGCCUCCAUGUGCACAGUGGAGAAUCAGAGAAUCAGGUCACCCCACAGGAAAGCAGGACCAUAAUGGGGUACUAGGCAGAGACCUAGCCUCCUGGCCAUGCACCUCUGAGCUGUGUGGACUGAUUCUUUUUUGCUUAAGCAUGCUUUUGUUUUCAUUUCAUUUAUUUAUUUAUUUUCAGACACAGUCUUGCUCUGUUGUCCAGGCUGGACUGCAGUGGUGUGAUUUCAAUCUCAGCUCACUGCAACCUCUGCCUCCCCGGUUCAAGUACUGCCAACAAGAAGGCCCAAUCAAGAUCCUCCCACAACAAGAGCAGAUUGUGAGCGUGGCAAGCUCUAUGCUGAGCACUGGAAGGACAAAGAGAGAUUGGGCACAGACUUCUCACUGAUCCAGGUGAUGAAGAGCUCACAUCUGAGAGGAUGUGACCAUGGAUGACCCACCAGAAUGUCAUGGGAUCCAGCUACAGCCAAGGAAGCACAGAGCACCGUGGGAGCGAUUUAUUGUGCUUGGGGAUGGGGAAGGGGACAUGGGAGGAGCCAUAUUGAGAAAGUAGCAUGGGUACUUGGCUUCACAGAGUGUGGCAGCUUUCAUCAGGAAGUGAUGGUGGGGGAACAGCGUCUCUGGCGGAGGGAAGCAGCAGGUGCAGAGGUGCAGAGGUGUGAGGAGUCUGUCACAUUCUGGGAAGGGAGUAUGGUUGGGUGACAAUGCAAGACAGAGAAAGCAAGGAGGGAAGGAGGGGCCUAGCCUGAGGAAUAAAGAAUAAUAAAAGCAGGAAAACAAU
rnacentral:lncRNA from 10 species